GGCGGUGUAGCUCAGAGGUCAGAGCAUGCGGCUCAUAUCCGCAGAGUCACUGGUUCAAAUCCAGUCACCGCCA
rnacentral:tRNA from 1 species